CAUCAGGAUCCCUGGCGGCGCCUGAGCCAGCGGCUGCUAGGAGGCUGUGUCCGCAAGCCAGCGGGGCGAGGCGCCUGGGCCCUGCGCGUCAGGUCCCGGCCUGGGGCACCGGGGCUGCCAGCGUCGGAGGAGGCCUGAGACCUGGGAGGAAGCUGGAGAAAAGAUGCCCUCUGAAUCUUUGUGUUUGGCUGCCCAGGCUCGCCUUGACACCGAAUGGUUGAAAACAGAUAUACAGAUGGUAGUGUCGAACCAAGUGGAACAAAGAAAGAAGAUCUGAAUGACAAAGAGAAAAAAAAUGAAGACGAAACUCCUGCACCUGUAUAUAGGGCCAAGUCAAUUCUGGAGACCUGGGUGUGGGUCAAGCAACCAGGAAACGGAAGCCCAAAGAGGAGGGGAGCUUACAGCAGGCCCUGGACUAGGGAUUAACACAAAAACAACAGCAACAAAUCUGAUUUAAGCUUCACACAUGAGACCGGCCAGCCAAGACUCACAUCCUCAGGCGAGUGGC
rnacentral:lncRNA from 1 species